UUGCCAGCCCUGAAGGCCUCCAUUUAUGCCCAGAGCAGGUACAGCAUGGGCAGCAUCCGUGGGCUUCCCAAGUGGCUGGCCAGUGUGCCUCCCCAAUCCUAGCGUGAGAGGUUUGUGAUGCUUCUGUGCUAGGGUGACUAGGCAUCC
rnacentral:sRNA from 1 species